AGAGAGAUGGUCUAGUGGUUCAAGGCGUAGCAUUGGAACUACUAUGUAGGCCAAGGGCUCGAAUCCCUCUCAUUUCG
rnacentral:tRNA from 1 species